rnacentral:rRNA from 1 species
CCUACGUGUGGCUGCAGUGGGGAAUAUUGGACAAUGGGCGAAAGCCUGAUCCAGCCAUGCCGCGUGUGUGAAGAAGGCCUUCGGGUUGUAAAGCACUUUCAGUGGGGAAGAAAGCCUUGGGGCUAAUACCCUCGAGGAAGGACAUAACCCACAGAAGAAGCACCGGCUAACUCCGUGCCAGCAGCCGCGGUAAUACGGAGGGUGCGAGCGUUAAUCGGAAUUACUGGGCGUAAAGCGCGCGUAGGCGGUCUGAUAAGCCGGUUGUGAAAGCCCCGGGCUCAACCUGGGAACGGCAUCCGGAACUGUCAGGCUAGAGUGCAGGAGAGGAAGGUAGAAUUCCCGGUGUAGCGGUGAAAUGCGUAGAGAUCGGGAGGAAUACCAGUGGCGAAGGCGGCCUUCUGGACUGACACUGACGCUGAGGUGCGAAAGCGUGGGUAGCAAACAGGAUUAGAUACCCCUGUAGUC